rnacentral:rRNA from 1 species
UACAGAGGUGGCAAGCGUUGCUCGGAAUCACUGGGCUUAAAGGGCACGUAGGCGGAUCGGAACGCGUCGGGUGAAAGCCCUCGGCUUAACCGAGGAACUGCUCGGCGAACGGCCGGUCUUGAGGCGGACAGGAGCAACUGGAACUCUGGGUGGAGCGGUGAAAUGCGUAGAUAUCCAGGGGAACGCCGGAGGUGAAAACGAGUUGCUAGGUCCGACCUGACGCUCCGGUGCGAAAGCCAGGGGAGCGAACGGG